rnacentral:sRNA from 1 species
UGGACCUCCCAGGAUCAAGCACCUCUCUUACAAAGUCUUUCACUAGCUCUUCUCCUUCUUCCCCAUCAAGAGCAAAAGUUACUCAGGGCUCAACGGCAACCCCUCCAGUGAGUUAGAUUACUGUAGCACUUACAGACAGCACUUGGAUGUCCCUCGGGACUCACCAAGAGCCAUUAGUUUCAAGAACGGCUGGCAAAUGGCCCGGCAAAACGCAGAAAUCUGGAGCAGCACGGAAGAAACCGUCUCUCCCAAAAUCAAAUCCCGGAGCUGUGACGAUCUCCUAAACGAUGACUG